AUAGCACUGAAAAAGUGGAAAAUUUUGCGUAGAGAAUGUAACCAACAGAAGUUACUUUAUUAUUUAUGUCUUAUGGUAAGACAUGAAAUAAACAAGAAAAAAAAAAGAGAUUUCAAGUUUAUUAGCUACGAAAAUAAUAAUACCCACAGAGAUUACCUAUAGCACUUCUUACUUUCAUUCAGGACCAGAAAAUGAGAGUUGGAGCUUAGUUCCCUACUAUUAGCUUUCUCUGGAAUUGUGUUGAAUCAAAUCCCUCAUUUAUUGGGCUGUCACAAGAACAAACAUUCUGCACAUAGUAGCUAGGUGAUUUUGUGGAAGAAGGGUCUGAUUCAUUGCAUUUUGUAAUUUAAUUGUAGCCCAUAAAUAUUCAACUGCUAUAAAUUGCUAAAGCUCCAUUUAAUUUACAGAAACAAAGGACUGUUUUUCCAAAUUUGCAUUUCCUUUAGCACAAGCAAUCAAGAUCAAACAUGCUCUAGCAUUGCUUCAUCUUCAACAUGCUUUUCUAAUCAGCACUGGCACACUUUUUUUUUUGUCACACCUACCCUCAUCUGGUUCUACGUUCUUCUCUUCUUUAGGAAAAGCCAAAGACAUCUGUUGCAGUUGUAAAAAUUCUUGCUAAUUCAGAACAAGGAUUCACAAUUAAGAGAAAUACAAUCUGAUUGCCAAAAGGGAAGACAAAAACAUCUAACAAACAAGUGAAAAAACAAAUGCGUCUUUUUGUCCAGACUGCCCACUGCUGGUGACAGGCAUUUAGAUCUUGUUUGUAUCCAUCAGAAAAACUGCAAAGAUGUAUUAUCUGAAACAUGAACUAGACUGCAGAUAAUGAUUUACAGAAUCAUAGAAUCAUCUACGUUGGAAAAGACUUCCAAGAUCAUCAAGUCAUCAUCAAUUUAGUAGCUGUCCAAGUUAAGCACCGAUUCCCCGCAAUGCAAAACAAGAAUACGUAAUUGUAUAAUACAGAUGUUUCUGCAAUCUAUCAGACUGUCGGACCCUAUGGCUUGAUAUCCUACCUGUGACAAAGGUCACAUCAGACACUUCAGAACUCUACCAAAUUAAAUUUGGCUGGAUGCAAGAUAAGCUGCCUCUCUAUUCCUGUUACCUCUUCUGUCUCCACAAAUCAGGCAAGUUUUAUAAUUUAAAUAUUGCUCUUUCUAUCCUAAACAAAUUUCUGUUGGUGCCAAGUUAGAAAAACACCGUAUAUUCUUGGAAUCUUGAAUGUUAAAGCUUCUUUUGAAACUUUAUGAAUUUUAUGUGACAGUAAGCUCCACCAUAUGGUGAAAAAUGGUUCUUAAUCAAAUUUUAUUACUAAGUGCCUUAAGAACUAUAACUUUAUUGUACAUCAACCUUCUCCCAAACUCACACAGACAAGAUUUAACAUCAAAUUGGUAAAGAUUUUAUUUGCAUAUGUAUGUUUUCAACUUAGUAGUUUACUUACACUAAUUCAAGUGCAAUUCCACCAUUUCCUACCACCACUAUUCUCUGAGCUUGGGCCAAAUGCUUCUGAAAAGCCUGCGUUAGAAAAGAAAAAAAUUAAACCCCAACUAAUGAAAUACAUCCUUUCUAUUAUUUUCUUGCCCUCGGUCUUUUUAUUUUGAUUUUUCUCAGGCUACUCAUAUACAUUCACUUAUACUAAGAAUAUGUUGCAGAAACUUCACAAGCCUGUGAAGUUUUAUCACAUUAAAGGCUAAAGUUAUUUCCACAGCCUUUUAAGUCUCAAACUGAGCCAGAAGUAAUUACAUUUAAACAAAAUCAACAGAGCCAGUAAUAGAAUCCAGAAAAUAUUUCUCUAUUAUAGAGACCGCUAGCAUUAUUAUACCUAUCUAUUAAUCCAAUUUUAUCAUAAUUUGUAAAACUUCCCCAAUAAUUUGUACAACACUAAGAGAACAAAGAUAGAGACAUUUAGCAAUUUAAAAAUCCCUGAUCAUAAUUCAGGAAUUUAAACAAUAAUUUGUAGCAGAUCUGAGAACCAGCUUUAUUUCCCCAAAAAACUUUUAAAAAGAAACAAGUCUCCAAAUCACAUUUUAGUGUCCAGAGAAAUAAAAGAAACGCAACCCAAUACAACUUCUUUUUUUUUGAUUAUCCUUUUUAAAACCAAACCAAACCUCAGGUAAAGUUUUAAUACCUGAAACAAACCACAACAGUAAUUUCAUGGUUUCACCUCAAUUUGCUUGAAAAGGUAUCUCCUUUUUUUUGUCAUUUGAUGAACUACAGUGCUCACGUUAUGGAGAAGCAGUGUUUACUUUCCUUGUUCCUCCUCUCAAUCUGAAGAUCGAUAGCAGUCAAACUUCACUUUCUAUUUCCACACUGAAGUAUUAGCCUAUUAAGUCAUGUGAAAACUUUUCCACAUCUUUGUCUACAAUUGUAGCUCCAUUCUGUACAGUAAGGAGAGGCUACACUAGAACCUGAAGAAAUCAGUCCUUCAGUAGCUUUUCACUGUGAAAAGCAGCCCUUCAUAUUGUUCACUAGAUGCACCUUUUCAAGUUAGUUUCUACUGGUGCCUACCUCCUGUUUAUAUUUUCAAAUCAGCUUCUGCCUGGAAGGCAAAGGAACAAACACCACUUGUUCCAGAUUUUCGUGUUACAAACACUAUGAGCCAUCUAUAAAUGUAAUAAAUUUAGUGACUAAUUAUUUAAUGCUAUUUUAAAGCUAUUUCUCUGUUACUGAAAAUGUUCUUAGUUAAAGAUAUAUAAUAAAAACCAGCACCUUAUGUUUCUACAUUUCAUUCUGCAUCCAUUUUUAGUGUUUUGCAUCAGAAGCACAAAUAUAUUCUGUAGGUGUAAGUCCAAAGAGCAUUUACCUGUGC